rnacentral:rRNA from 5 species
GGGCGCACGGUGGAUGCCUUGACACUAGGAGUCGAUGAAGGACGGGACUAACGCCGAUAUGCUUCGGGGAGCUGUAAGUAAGCUUUGAUCCGAAGAUUUCCGAAUGGGGAAACCCACCAUACGUAAUGGUAUGGUAUCCUUAUCUGAAUACAUAGGGUAAGGAAGACAGACCCAGGGAACUGAAACAUCUAAGUACCUGGAGGAAGAGAAAGCAAAUGCGAUUUCCUGAGUAGCGGCGAGCGAAACGGAACAUAGCCCAAACCAAGAGGCUUGCCUCUUGGGGUUGUAGGACAUUCUAUACGGAGUUACAAAGGAACGAGGUAGACGAAGCGACCUGGAAAGGUCCGUCGUAGAGGGUAACAACCCCGUAGUCGAAACUUCGUUCUCUCUUGAAUGUAUCCUGAGUACGGCGGAACACGUGAAAUUCCGUCGGAAUCUGGGAGGACCAUCUCCCAAGGCUAAAUACUCCCUAGUGAUCGAUAGUGAACCAGUACCGUGAGGGAAAGGUGAAAAGCACCCCGGAAGGGGAGUGAAAGAGAUCCUGAAACCGUGUGCCUACAAAUAGUCAGAGCCCGUUAACGGGUGAUGGCGUGCCUUUUGUAGAAUGAACCGGCGAGUUACGAUCCCGUGCGAGGUUAAGCUGAAGAGGCGGAGCCGCAGCGAAAGCGAGUCUGAAUAGGGCGUUUAGUACGUGGUCGUAGACCCGAAACCAGGUGAUCUACCCAUGUCCAGGGUGAAGUUCAGGUAACACUGAAUGGAGGCCCGAACCCACGCACGUUGAAAAGUGCGGGGAUGAGGUGUGGGUAGCGGAGAAAUUCCAAUCGAACCUGGAGAUAGCUGGUUCUCCCCGAAAUAGCUUUAGGGCUAGCCUUAAGUGUAAGAGUCUUGGAGGUAGAGCACUGAUUGGACUAGGGGUCCUCAUCGGAUUACCGAAUUCAGUCAAACUCCGAAUGCCAAUGACUUAUCCUUAGGAGUCAGACUGCGAGUGAUAAGAUCCGUAGUCAAAAGGGAAACAGCCCAGACCGCCAGCUAAGGUCCCAAAGUGUGUAUUAAGUGGAAAAGGAUGUGGAGUUGCUUAGACAACUAGGAUGUUGGCUUAGAAGCAGCCACCAUUUAAAGAGUGCGUAAUAGCUCACUAGUCGAGUGACUCUGCGCCGAAAAUGUACCGGGGCUAAAUACACCACCGAAGCUGCGGAUUGAUACCGAAUGGUAUCAGUGGUAGGGGAGCGUUCUAAGGACAGUGAAGUCAGACCGGAAGGACUGGUGGAGUGCUUAGAAGUGAGAAUGCCGGUAUGAGUAGCGAAAGACGGGUGAGAAUCCCGUCCACCGAAUGCCUAAGGUUUCCUGAGGAAGGCUCGUCCGCUCAGGGUUAGUCAGGACCUAAGCCGAGGCCGACAGGCGUAGGCGAUGGACAACAGGUUGAUAUUCCUGUACCACCUCUUUAUCGUUUGAGCAAUGGAGGGACGCAGAAGGAUAGAAGAAGCGUGCGAUUGGUUGUGCACGUCCAAGCAGUUAGGCUGAUAAGUAGGCAAAUCCGCUUAUCGUAAAGGCUGAGCUGUGAUGGGGAAGCUCCUUAUGGAGCGAAGUCUUUGAUUCCCCGCUGCCAAGAAAAGCUUCUAGCGAGAUAAAAGGUGCCUGUACCGCAAACCGACACAGGUAGGCGAGGAGAGAAUCCUAAGGUGUGCGAGAGAACUCUGGUUAAGGAACUCGGCAAAAUGACCCCGUAACUUCGGGAGAAGGGGUGCUUUCUUAACGGAAAGCCGCAGUGAAUAGGCCCAAGCGACUGUUUAGCAAAAACACAGCUCUCUGCGAAGCCGUAAGGCGAAGUAUAGGGGGUGACACCUGCCCGGUGCUGGAAGGUUAAGGAGAGGGGUUAGCGUAAGCGAAGCUCUGAACUGAAGCCCCAGUAAACGGCGGCCGUAACUAUAACGGUCCUAAGGUAGCGAAAUUCCUUGUCGGGUAAGUUCCGACCCGCACGAAAGGUGUAACGAUUUGGGCACUGUCUCAACCAGAGACUCGGUGAAAUUAUAGUACCUGUGAAGAUGCAGGUUACCCGCGACAGGACGGAAAGACCCCGUGGAGCUUUACUGUAGCCUGAUAUUGAAUUUUGGUACAGUUUGUACAGGAUAGGCGGGAGCCUUUGAAACCGGAGCGCUAGCUUCGGUGGAGGCGCUGGUGGGAUACCGCCCUGACUGUAUUGAAAUUCUAACCUACGGGUCUUAUCGACCCGGGAGACAGUGUCAGGUGGGCAGUUUGACUGGGGCGGUCGCCUCCUAAAGUGUAACGGAGGCGCCCAAAGGUUCCCUCAGAAUGGUUGGAAAUCAUUCGUAGAGUGCAAAGGCAUAAGGGAGCUUGACUGCGAGACCUACAAGUCGAGCAGGGACGAAAGUCGGGCUUAGUGAUCCGGUGGUUCCGCAUGGAAGGGCCAUCGCUCAACGGAUAAAAGCUACCCCGGGGAUAACAGGCUUAUCUCCCCCAAGAGUCCACAUCGACGGGGAGGUUUGGCACCUCGAUGUCGGCUCAUCGCAUCCUGGGGCUGUAGUCGGUCCCAAGGGUUGGGCUGUUCGCCCAUUAAAGCGGUACGCGAGCUGGGUUCAGAACGUCGUGAGACAGUUCGGUCCCUAUCCGUCGUGGGCGUAGGAAAUUUGAGAGGAGCUGUCCUUAGUACGAGAGGACCGGGAUGGACGCACCGCUGGUGUACCAGUUGUUCUGCCAAGGGCAUAGCUGGGUAGCUAUGUGCGGAAGGGAUAAGUGCUGAAAGCAUCUAAGCAUGAAGCCCCCCUCAAGAUGAGAUUUCCCAUAGCGUAAGCUAGUAAGAUCCCUGAAAGAUGAUCAGGUUGAUAGGUUCGAGGUGGAAGCAUGGUGACAUGUGGAGCUGACGAAUACUAAUAGAUCGAGGACUUAACCAU